ensembl:lncRNA
AUCUUUACUUCCAUAAGUGAACACAUGAAGAAAGGAUUCUAGCGUGUUUAAAUGUGUUCCCUGAUCAUGUACGAUCUUUACUUCCAUAAGGGAACACUGAUAGAUAGACAGACAGGUAUAUCAUAUCUCUAUUUCCAUAAGUGAACACAUGAAAAAAGGAUUCUAGCGUGUUUAAAAGUGUUCCCUGAUCAUGUAUAAUAGAUCUUUACUUCCAUAAGGGAACACAUGAAGAAAGGACUGUAGCGUGUUUAAAUGUGUUCCCUGAUCAGGGUUACCUGCCUAUCAGGUCCUGCCUGGAUACUCUGUAUAGAGGGCACCGUUUACAUGCUGAGUAUAAACCGGACUAAAGACAAUUGAUGACUAAAUAUACUUACGUCCUUAACACACUGAGUUGUUGAGUUUAGGUUCUGCUUUGCCAUGAAUUCAAUUAAAUUCAAUGUUUUUUAUAUAGCGCCAAAGCAAUACAAUUGUCUCAAGGUGCUUUACAGGGCCAGGAUACAUCUAUGAAUUAAUCUGCCACACGUAUGCUAGCAUGCUUAUCCUGAUAUAUCUAUGAAUUAAUCUGCCACAUGUAUGUAUGCUAGCAUGCUUAUCCUGAAAUAUCUAUGAAUUAAUCUGCCACAUGUAUGCUAGCAUGCUUAUCCUGAUACAUGUAUGAAUUAAUCUGCCACAUGUAUGUAUGCUAGCAUGCUUAUCCUGAUACAUGUAUGAAUUAAUCUGCCAUAUUUCUGAUUGUCCUCCUUCCCUUUUUUCCUUGCCACUGUUGCCAUUGU